UACGAACCGUCCAAACGUUAUUCGGAAUUACUGGGCUUAAAGGGUACGUAGGCGGCGCUGUUAGUCGGGUGUGAAAGCCCACGGCUCAACCGUGGAAUUGCGCCCGAUACUGCAGUGCUUGAGGGAGACAGAGGUAAGCGGAACUGAUGGUGGAGCGGUGAAAUGCGUUGAUAUCAUCAGGAACACCGGUGGCGAAAGCGGCUUACUGGGUCUCUUCUGACGCUGAGGUACGAAAGCUAGGGGAGCAAACGGG
rnacentral:rRNA from 1 species